GGUUUUCUGGUUGCUUUUGAUCGGAGUACUCCAAGGAAAAGGGCUCCUGGCCAAAAUGCUAAGAAUGAAGAACAAAGGAUUAAGAAAGUUUUAUAUAUUUUCAUUAAAAGAGAAGGCAGGACAAGCUGACUCAAGCCGAAAAGAAACGGGGAACUUAUCUGGCUCAGACGAGGUCCAGCGACACCAGCCGGUCCUUCCUGAGGACAGCAGGCACGACUCGGCAAGUAAUCCGAGGCCGGAUGGCCUGGAGGAGAAGCUGAGAGGAGCGAGCAGCCCCUCCGGUCAGCUCGACUCACUCCCAGAAAAUGAACUGCGCAGGUCCGAAAGAGUUAGGAAACGCCCAGCGUACCUGCGCGACUACGUAGAGAAAUAACAUGCUAAAUUUAUGCAAAUAUGAGUAAAGUGUUUUCUGGGAGGGAAGGAGUGUAAUGUAUCUUUAAAAGUUUUGGCGGGAAUUAGCACGUUGCUGAUUGGUUGAGGCCACCGGCUGAAAUGUAUAUAAAGAGAGGUUUGCCCCAGUACUGGUUGCUGGGAUUCACUGUAUAUUAAAGAGCUGUUGUCACUACCCUGGUCUCCUGCCUCGUUAUUGCCCAAACUUAACAGUUUUUGGUUGAAAAUUUUGGGAUUUUGAGUAGAGACAAUGGAGUCAGGUAAUAAGUUCCAAGCUUUGAUAGAGCAUUGCCAGUUUUUGAUAGAGCAUUGCCAGUUUUGACCACUUGUUGUCUGUUUGACAAGAAAGCUGUUAUCCUAUUGUGGAGUGGUCCUGAAAUGCCGUAGGAUUUUAGUUUUAGGAGAAGUUUAUCAUGUAUUACUGAGUCAAACGCUUUACAGAACUCUAUGUAGAUUGCAUCUAUUGCUUUGUCCUGAUCAAGAUUUGUAGUCCAUGUUUUUGCAGUGAAAAAGUUGUAAGUUACAUGAUAAUUUUUUUCUGAAACUGAAUUGUUUAUUAGAGAGUAGGUUGUUUGUUUCUAGGUGGAGGGUAAUGGAUUGGUUGAUGAUAGAUUCCACUACUUUGCAGGUGACGCAGCAUAGAGAGAUUGGUCUGUAAUUAUCAACUAGGCUGGGGUCUCCUUUUUUGAAGACUGGGAUGACCGUGGCUAGUGACCAAAGUUUGGGAAGGGAACUGGUCGUGAAAGCUUUUUCAAAGAUUAUGCUUAGGGGUUCUGCUAUAUUAGUGGAAAGCUUUUUUAAGAAGUAUGCACAUCAGGUCCAAUAGAUAGGGAUGGUUUCAGUUUGCGAAGAGGUUUUUUAACAUUAUCUUCUGUGAAAUCUAUUUGUGUUAGGUCAUUGUACUCAUUGUUGGUACAAUAGGGGAAUGUCGGAUAUGAGCCAUUACAAAGACUGAGCCAAAGAAUGUGUUAAAAACUUCCAAGUUUUGUCCCGUAUUAUUCUAUGAAUAAGAUGAAGAUGACAGGCUUUUAAUCAUUUAGGGGCUGCGCCCAAAAACAAAAACUUUAUGAACUUUUAGGGGCCAGGAAGCACCCAAUAAAUCUGAUGAAGCUAAAGCUCGGACGAUCUAGCUUUUGCUGGCUAGAUGGCGCUCUAUGGUUAGGCAAUAAGCUCGCAAGAAGCUGAACGGAAAGGAAUUGAGACCAUAGACUCGCGGAUGGCUAGAGAGACUAUGGAAAGGCGAAGCCCCGAAAAAAAUUCGUCUUCCGGCUUCCUGAUGGAGUCUGGCGGUGGCUGUUGUAGUUUUUCCUGGGUCGAAGCGGCAGCUGGCAGAUGGGAACCACAUCAGCUCCUUUCCAAUCCUCUGGUAGUUUCCAGUGCUUCAAGAUUUUUUAAAGGUAAAUGGAAUGCCAAAAAGAGUCUUCUGGACGACAGAGAAUCAGAAUCAGAUUGAAAAAGGAAAGUGAAUCCGGAACAUCUCAUAAAUGUCUUUUCC